GACGAAGGGUGCUAGCGUUGUUCGGAAUUACUGGGCGUAAAGCGCGUGUAGGCGGUUUUUCAAGUCGGGUGUGAAAGCCUUGAGCUCAACUCAAGAAAUGCACUCGGUACUGGAUGACUAGAGGACCGGAGAGGAUAGUGGAAUUCCCAGUGUAGUGGUGAAAUACGUAGAGAUUGGGAAGAACACCAGUGGCGAAGGCGGCUAUCUGGACGGUUUCUGACGCUAAGACGCGAAAGCGUGGGGAGCAAACAGG
rnacentral:rRNA from 1 species